GUUGUUGUGGCGGUGAGUGUUAAGGGAUGGACUAGAAAUCCAUUGGGGUUUCCCCGCGCAGGUUCGAAUCCUGCCAACAACG